UAAGUGCUGAAAGCAUCUAAGCACGAAACUUGCCCCGAGAUGAGUUCUCCCUGAGACUUAAAGUCUCCUGAAGGAACGUUGAAGACGACGACGUUGAUAGGCCGGGUGUGUAAGCGCAGCGAUGCGUUGAGCUAACCGGUACUAAUGAACCGUGAGGCUUAACCUUACAACGCCGAAG
rnacentral:rRNA from 1 species